GCCCUUAGUUGCCAUCNUUCNGUUGGGCACUNNNGGGGGACUGNCNGCUUCAAGCCGGAGGAAGGCGAGGACGACGUCUAGUCAUCAUGGNCCUUAUGNCCAGGGCUACACACGUGCUACAAUGGGCGGUACAAAGGGUCGCGAACCCGCGAGGGNAAGCCAAUCCCCAAAAGCCGGCCUCAGUUCGGAUUGGAGUCUGCAACUCGACUCCAUGAAGGUGGAAUCGCUAGUAAUCGCGNAUCAGCAUGNCGCGGUGAAUACNUUCCCGGGGCUUGGACACA
rnacentral:rRNA from 1 species